GUCUCUUAAUUGGGGGCUGGAAUGAAUGGUUGGAUGAAAAAUAUACUUUCUUUAUUUUAUAUAAAAAACUUUAUUUUUUAGUCAAAAAGCUAGAAUUUUUUUAUAGGACGAGAAGACCCUAUAGAACUUUAUUAAUCUUAAUAUAUAAUUUUUAUAUUUUAUUAAAAUGUUUUAUAUUAAGAUUAAUUGCGUUGGGGUGAUGAAAAAAAUAUUAUAACUUUUUUUAUUUUUCACAUUUAUUUAUGUUUUUUUGAUCCUUUAUUAUGGAUAAUAAGAUAAAGUUACCUUAGGGAUAACAGCGUUAUUUUUUUGGAGAGUUCAUAUCGAUAAAAAAGUUUGCGACCUCGAUGUUGGAUUAAAAUUAAUUGUAGGGGUAUAAUAUUACAAAUUAGGUCUGUUCGACCUUUAAAUUUUUACA
rnacentral:rRNA from 1 species